rnacentral:rRNA from 1 species
AUGAACGCUGGCGGCGUGCCUAAUGCCUGCAAGUCGCGCGAACGGACGAGAAGCUUGCUUCUCUGAUGUUAGCGGCGGACGGGUGAGUAACACGUGGAUAACCUACCUAUAAGACUGGGAUAACUUCGGGAAACCGGAGCUAAUACCGGAUAAUAUUUUGAACCGCAUGGUUCAAAAGUAAAAGACGGUCUUGCUGUCACUUAUAGAUGGAUCCGCGCUGCAUUAGCUAGUUGGUAAGGUAACGGCUUACCAAGGCAACGAUGCAUAGCCGACCUGAGAGGGUGAUCGGCCACACUGGAACUGAGACACGGUCCAGACUCCUACGGGAGGCAGCAGUAGGGAAUCUUCCGCAAUGGGCGAAAGCCUGACGGAGCAACGCCGCGUGAGUGAUGAAGGUCUUCGGAUCGUAAAACUCUGUUAUUAGGGAAGAACAUAUGUGUAAGUAACUGUGCACAUCUUGACGGUACCUAAUCAGAAAGCCACGGCUAACUACGUG